UACGUAGGGGGGCAAGCGUUUGUCCGGAAUUAUUGGGCGUAAAGAGCGCGUAGGCGGUCCGAUAAGUCGGCUGUGAAAGUCAGGGGCUCAACCCUUGGAAGCCGGCCGAUACUGUCGGACUAGAGUCCGGAAGAGGCGAGUGGAAUUCCCGGUGUAGCGGUGAAAUGCGCAGAUAUCGGGAGGAACACCAAUGGCGAAGGCAGCUCGCUGGGACGGUACUGACGCUGAGGCGCGAAAGCGUGGGGAGCAAACAGG
rnacentral:rRNA from 1 species